rnacentral:ncRNA from 1 species
UACCUGGUUGAUUCUGCCAGUAGUCAUAUGCUUGUCUCAAAGAUUAAGCCAUGCAUGUCUAAGUAUAAGCAAUUAUACGGCGAAACUGCGAAUGGCUCAUUAUAUAAGUUAUCGUUUAUUUGAUAGUAUCUUGCUACUUGGAUAACCGUGGUAAUUCUAGAGACUGAGGUUCGCGCAUCUUUUGCUAGGAUGCUGGCGUAAUGGUUAUCAGCGGCCCGUCUUGAAACACGGACCAAGGAGGCGUCUUCGUAUGCGAGUGUUCGGGUGUCAAACCCCUACGCGGAAUGAAAGUGAACGCAGGUGAGAGCCCUCUGGGCGCAUCAUCGACCGAUCCUGAUGUUCUCGGAUGGAUUUGAGUAAGAGCAUACGGGGCCGGACCCGAAAGAAGGUGAACUAUGCCUGUAUAGGGUGAAGCCAGAGGAAACUCUGGUGGAGGCUCACGUGGGAUCACAGAAGGAAGACAUAGGGUAGCUCCGAUGUUCUGCUAUGUAGAGGUCACGUGACAUUGGGUAAGUCACGUGGGUAUCUAGAGGUCACGUGACAUAGUAGCUGGUUUCCGCCGAAGUUUCCCUCAGGAUAGCAGUGUUGAUCUCAGUUUUAUGAGGUAAAGCGAAUGAUUAGGGACCCGGGGGCGCUAUAUAGCCUUCAUCCAUUCUCAAACUUUAAAUAUGUAAGAAGCCCUUGGUUGGCUGCGGCGUUAUCCCUCUCCUCGCUGCAAAACUCUUGUGUUUUCCAAUGCAUGUCUGAGUGGAUUUUUGCAAAUCAAAAUGAAUCAAAACUUUCAACAACGGAUCUCUUGGUUCUGGCAUCCAAGGAAGGCAGCAGGCGCGCAAAUUACCCAAUCCCGAUACCACAAAAGGUGUUAGUACAUCUUGACAGCAGGACGGUGGCCAUGGAAGUCGGAAUCCGCUAAGGACUGUGUAACAACUCACCUGCCGAAUGUACUAGCCCUGAAAAUGGAUGGCGCUCAAGCGUCUCACCCAUACCUCGCCCUCAGGGUAGAAACGAAGCCCUGAGGAGUAGGCGGACGUGGGGGUCAGUGACGAAGCCUAGGGCGUGAGCC